rfam:Triticum aestivum genome assembly, contig: Triticum_aestivum_CS42_TGACv1_scaffold_050663_1BS
UAUGUACUCCCUCCGUUCCAAAAUACUUGACUUCCAUUUGUCCAAAAAUGGGUGUACCUAUAUACUAAAACAUGUCUAGAUACAUCUAUAUUUUGACAAAUAGAAGGCAUGUAUUUUGGAACGGAGGGAGUAGAAU